rnacentral:rRNA from 1 species
AGGUGAAAAGAACCCCUGUUAGGGGAGUGAAAUAGAAUCUGAAACUGUCUGCCAACAAGCGGUAGGAGGGCUAUGUUUGAGUUUACUCAAAAAUGCCUGACUGCGUACCUUUUGCAUAAUGGGCCAGGGACUUAUCUUCAUUAGCAAGAUUAAGCCGAUAGGUGUAGUCGUAGCGAAAGCGAGUCUUAAUAGGGCGCUAGUUAAUGGAGUUAGACCCGAAGCGGGACGAUCUAGCCAUGGGCAGGGUGAAGCAUCAGGAAACUGAUGUGGAGGCCCGAACCAUUGAAGGGUGAAAACUUCUUGGAUGACCUGUGGUUAGGAGUGAAAGGCUAAUCAAGUUCCGUGAUAGCUGGUUCUCCCCGAAAUAUAUUUAGGUAUAGCCUCAUGCGUUCUCCUCUGGGGGUAGAGCACUGAUUGGACUAGGGGGUCGAAAGACUUACCAAACCCUAUCAAACUCCGAAUACCAGAGAUAGUAGCAUGGGAGUCAGUCUAUGGGUGCUAAGGUCCAUAGACGAGAGGGAAACAACCCAGAUCGCAAUCUAAGGUCCCCAAAUUUAGACUAAGUGGUUAAGGACGUGAGUUUUCAUAGACAGCCAGGAGGUAGGCUUAGAAGCAGCCAUCCUUUAAAGAUAGAGUAACAUCUCACUGGUCGAUGAGAAUUUGCACCGAAAAUGAAUCGGGGCUAAGUCUAAUACCGAAGAUGCGGAUUGUAUGUUUACAUACAGUGGUAGGGGAGCGUUCUUAAUGGAAUGAAGCAUUACCGUAAGGAGAUGUGGACUGUUAAGAAGUGAGAAUCCUGGCAUGAGUAGCGAUAAAAGUGGUGAGAAUCCACUUCACCGUAAGCGUAAGGGUUCCUGGGCAAGGCUCGUCCUCCCAGGGUUAGUCGGGACCUAAGGCGAGGCCGAAAGGCGUAGUCGAUGGAAAACAGGUUAAUAUUCCUGUACCACCUGUUAGGAGUGAUGGGGUGACGGAGAAGGAUAGAUCAUCCGUGUUUUGGAUUACACGGUUCAAGCUCGUAGGAUUAAGAAAUUGGCAAAUCCGUUUCUUUUAUAGUCUGAGAAGUGAGUACGAGAGGCCCUAGGCCUCAUAAAGUGAUUGAUUCCAUGCUUCCUAGAAAAACCUCUAAAUUUUGAUUAACAGGUGCUCGUACUGUAAACGGACACACGUACGCGGGUAGAGUAUACCAAGGUGUUUGAGAUAAUUAUGGCCAAGGAACUCGGCAAAAUAGCUCCGUAACUUCGGGAUAAGGAGUACCUAUAUUAAGUGAAGGAUCUUGCAUCUGGAGCUGAAAUAGGUGUCACUGAAAUGAUGGAAGCGACUGUUUACCAAAAACACAGGCCUGUGCUAACCCGCAAGGGGAUGUAUACGGGCUGACGCCUGCCCGGUGCUGGACGGUUAAGGGGAUGGGUUAUCCUUCGGGAGAAGCUUAGAACCGAAGCCCCAGUAAACGGCGGCCGUAACUAUAACGGUCCUAAGGUAGCGAAAUUCCUUGUCGUCUAAUUAGCGACCCGCAUGAAUGGCGUAACGACUUCUGUACUGUCUCGGCCAUAAUCUCAGCGAAAUUGUAGUGCUGGUGAAGAUGCCAGCUUCCCGUUGUGGGACGGAAAGACCCCGUGCACCUUUACUAUAACCUAGCACUGGAUUUUGAUGUUAAAUGCGUAGGAUAGGUGGGAGACUAUGAAAGUUCAAUUUUGGUUGGGCUGGAGUCGUUGGUGAAAUACCACCCUUUUGAUGUUAGGAUUCUAACUUUAAUCCGUUAUCCGGAUUGAGGACAAUGUUAGGCGGGUAGUUUGACUGGGGCGGUUGACUCCUAAAGAGUAACGGAGUCGCUCAAAGGUUCUCUCAGCCUGAUUGGAAACCAGGCGUCGAGUGUAAUGGCACAAGAGAGCUUGACUGUGAGAUUGACAAAUCGAGCAGGUACGAAAGUAGGACAUAGUGACCCGGUGGCUUCCAAGUGGGAGGGCCAUCGAUCAUCGGAUAAAAGGUACGCCGGGGAUAACAGAUUAAUCGCGCCCAAGAGUUCACAUCGACGGCGCGGAUUGAUACCUCGAUGUCGGCUCAUCGCAUCCCGGGGCUGUAGAAGGUCCCAAGGGUUGAGCUGUUCGCUCAUUAAAGCGGUACGCGAGCUGGGUUCAGAACGUCGUGAGACAGUUC